rnacentral:rRNA from 1 species
AAUCAUUAGUCUUUUAAUUGAAGGCUUGUAUGAAUGAUCGCACAAGAGAUGAUCUGUCUUGAUAGGAUUUAUUGAAUUUAACUUUUAAGUAAAAAGGCUUAAAUAAUUUAAAGUGACGAUAAGACCCUAUAAAACUUGAUAAUUGUAGUUUAAAAAGUGUAUUGGUUUGUAUAGAAUUUUUUUAAUAAAUUUUAUUUUAUUGGGGCGAUAAAAAUAUAAAUAAUAACUGUUUUUAAUAUUUAAAUAACUAUUGUUAGAGAUUAAAUGAUCCUUUAAUAAAGAUUAUAAGAUUAAGUUACUUU